UAAUAUUGUAUUCCGAAUUAAUCAAUAAUUAACAAAACAGUGAGUCAGACAUAUCCUUUCCUCUCAAAGCUCUUCUUUCGUCGCAAGCGUUGGCGAUGCUCUCUUGAUCUUCGGUCCCGUUUCCGCCGCAAGUUUCGUUUUUGCACUAUAGGCUAUGAGGUUGAAUUGGUACUAAACAAGAUUAAUCGGUAGGACUGCUAUGUUAAUCGAAAUUUCACAUUACUUUCUGGAGAAAGAAGAAUCCUUAGCGAGUAGCAUCGGUGAGAGAGUAUUUAUGGACAUGCAUGUUGACUAUUACGAAUGAAAUCUGUAUCAUCUGGUAAACACUAAAGAUGACUUUUCGGAACCUUGUAAAUGUCAUGUUCGUUUAAUUAAACACAUUUUCAUUGUUGGUUUCUGAA